GACGAACGCUGGCGGCGUGCUUAACACAUGCAAGUCGAACGGAAAGGCCCUGCUUUUGUGGGGUGCUCGAGUGGCGAACGGGUGAGUAACACGUGAGUAACCUGCCCUUGACUUUGGGAUAACUUCAGGAAACUGGGGCUAAUACCGGAUAGGAGCUCCUGCUGCAUGGUGGGGGUUGGAAAGUUUCGGCGGUUGGGGAUGGACUCGCGGCUUAUCAGCUUGUUGGUGGGGUAGUGGCUUACGAAGGCUUUGACGGGUAGCCGGCCUGAGAGGGUGACCGGCCACAUUGGGACUGGGAUGCGGGCCGGACUCCUACGGGAGGCAGCAGUGGGGAAUAUUGCGCAAUGGGCGGAAGCCUGAUGCAGCACCGCCGCGUGCGGGAUGACGGCCUUCGGGUUGUAAACCGCUUUCGCCUGUGACGAAGCGUGAGUGACGGUAAUGGGUAAAGAAGCACCGGCUAACUACGUG
rnacentral:rRNA from 1 species